CAUGAGUGUUGCUAAGCAAUGGAGAAAAGAUGAGGGAAAGGGAGGGUGCCUGACUUUAGGAUUAGGAGGAUGGAUAGAAGAUAAAGUAAGGCUUCUGCAUAGCUUUAUUUAGAAAAACUUUCAAGUUCUUUGUUUUUACUGCCUGUCCUCCAAACUACUUGUACUCUGAUUAAUCAGGUCUCAUUCAUUAUCUAUCCCAAUGCACACCCAGCACAAAGAGAGGUGCUGCAUCCUGGAGCACUGGCACAAGCAUUUGAGCACCAGACCUGCCAACAUCUGUCUCUGGAUUUAACAGCAAGGAAUGAGAGAAGAAGAAAUCUUCCCUAUCAGCAGCAGCAGGGGUUGCUGCAGCAAGAUGAUAAUUCCCUCCUGCUACUCUGCUGACAAGCACCAAGCUGCACAGGAAGAAUGGAGCAUUUUAAUCACGGGAUUGAAAAAUGCAGAAGUUCCUAAAGCUUCACCUUACCUUGGCUGAUUUACAUUAAUUUAGGAUCUACCAGCUUUCAGUGGAAUAAUGUUAUCUAUGGAAGAUAACAGAGGAGGAAAAAUUUGGUGGAACUUCUAGUUUCCCUGUGCAUAAUGUGCCAGGAUCUAUGUAUAUAAACAGUUUUGGAGCAUCUUAGAUAAGCAAAGACUAUCGGAAUCCUUAAAAGAACAGUGCAAACUUGAGAGCUCCUUAAUACAAAAUGUUUUCUAAGUGCCACACUUUCAAAUACACACCACUGAAAGAAUAAAAAAUACAUUAGCAACUGGCAAGUCCAAUCCAGUGUCCAUUGGAACCAUCAAAAACCCUGUGAGAGAGGCCUCAAGGUUUUGGCUCUGGCUCUUUCAUCUUUCAGAUUAUCAUUUAUAGCAAAGGCACUCCAUAAGGAGCUGCUAAGACAAAUGCAAAUGUUGUGUCAAAGACAGUCAGACACCCCCCCAAAAUUAAAAAUUUGAGCACACAGCAGCUUACAGGCAGCAGCUUUGGGCAUGUGGCUCAACAUCUGCUACAACAGCACUAGAAAGCAGACCUGCGGCACGCUGGAGCGGUGCCAGCUCUCAGCUUAUCCCCGGCCAGGCUGUCAGGAGAACGGACAGAUGGCAGCCGAUGCACUCACAGGACAGUUAGCUCAGUUAACAAUCAAGGAUGCUAAAUGGUUUCAGAUUCACUCUGCACCAAGCAUUGUACUUUCCAGUGAACCAUUAACACUGUGUCCUAAUAGAAAUAUGGUUUGGUAUGAAGGAACUGGCAGAUCCUGUAUUUUACAAGACAGUUUCUCUGGAACAAUUUGUCAGGGAACAUUAGAUCUGCCUUCAUGAAUAAAGUGAGAAUCUGCCAAGUUUG